GAGCGUGUUAGGAAGCAAUAAUCCAAGGCUCGUGGUACAUUUAAGUCCCGUAAUUCUGAAUUAGCUGCGAUCCCUGCUGUCAGGAGCGCAGCGCUGAGUGAAGGUUAGAUUUCCUCUCCCACUGUAUUUUCAUUCAGAUUAAUAUUUAAGCUGCGCUGGUGGUGCGUCCGGGAGAACAGUCGGUCCUUUUACAGCUCGGAGCGGUAAGAGGCCGGCUCUGCUGGCUGUUUGGACAAGGCGAGCACCUUGCUGCGGCUGGCCACGGGCCCCACGCUUUCACAGCCCUCACGCUCCCCGCUCGCUGGGCACAGCUAUCGCCCUCCUCGCAGUGCCUGCUGCUGACAGUGCCUCUCCCCUCAGCUGAGAUCGCCGCGUGUGACCUACUUUGAAAAUGGUGUGAACCGAGGUUCACAAAUUGUCUUGGAAGGGUGCCACGAGGCUGGUGUGCAAACAUGUGCGGGCCGGGAGGCUGCUGUCAGAGCACAGCCGGCUGUCUCCGCGCCCUCCCAGAUGCAGCGCGCCUUCUUUUCGCCAGCCCCGGCUUCACAAUCCAUCUUUGUGCUCUCGAGAGCGGCGUAUUGAUUCCCAGGGGUUAGAGAGCCCCUGGCCAAUCAGCCCGCCCUGCCUUCCUGCUCCCCGAGCAGCUGAAGUAGUAACAGAGAUGAAUAAAGGGCUUCAGGCGGAGCUGUCAGCUGAAGCCUCGCCGUAGUAGUAGUAGUUGUAGUAAAAGCAGCCGUAGCGGUAUCAGAAUACAAGUCACAAAGGAGGGCUCGGCGGCGAUGCCGUAUUUACACAGUUCAUCUGUUUACUAUCAUCUGCCCGUUUGUAGGGUAAUGUCAACUUGCAAUUACCAAACCUGCUUUCCACGCCAGACGAACGGCUGAACCUGUGUGUCAUCCCGAAAUACUGAUAGAGGAGAGCACUCAACAGAAAGGCGCUGCCUGGAGAGCUGCAGCCUGAAAGCUACAUCUGUUCUACAUGGCUCUCCACCUUGGCCGCGGUUCAAUUUCCACUGACUUCCAUGAACUCCAUUAUGAAACCCAAGUGCGAGGCUGCCUUUGCACUGGGACCAGCCCGUGACUCCUGAGCACAGACUUGCCUUCGGCCACCUCUCCUGCAGCACGCGGCUCCAGGGAGCAGCGACCACCCCGAGGAAAGUGCACCUCAUCCUCCAGCUCGUCCGUCCCCUGCUGACUGACAGCCACGAGCCCGCAAAGCCAGGCUGGAGUAGUUUAAAAAUAGGGAAAGCUGAGACAAAGACCUUUAUCAGCUCUCAAAGCAGGACAACGCCGAUGCUCACCCUGCCUGAUAUGGGCUUUGCCAGUUGCUGAACGGCAGCGGUGAUCCUGGGUGGUCAAAGGGGACGAGGGCAGGCCUGUGAAACAAGAACUUGACAUCUGACACUCGCCAGUCCUGCUGGCGAAGCUGCUGGGCCAUGGGCAGGAGCUCCUGUCUGAGCACGCCGGCCGGAUCCUCUGCAGCAAGCCCUUCUGGCCCGGCAGCCGUGAUAAUAAACACCGCAACCAGGCUGACAUUUUGGCCAGGCAGGAUCUGUCAUAAGCCUCAGCUGGGAGUGAUGGCUUUAAUGAGAAAUGUUAAUAGACGAAUAGCUUCCCCGUGAGUUGUUAUUUCUGGUGUUGAAGGCACUGAGUUGUUCUUGGUGGUGGCUGUUUGCUUUUAAUAGCAUACACGGGGCUUUCUGGGGCAAGUGGUAUCUCCCCAUUUAAAAGGUGGGAGCAGGACUCUGAGAAAUGCGCGGUGUCCUUGUCACUUGCAUUGUUCCCUGUGACCGUGCAAGAUGUGAUGGCAGCUGGGGGAAAUGAAGCCAGUGGAGCUUUCCCAGUGCCAGGCCUUGCUCCAGUGGAGGGGAGGAGCUCUGAGCCUACGUGGGUACAGAUACCAAGACACAGGGGUUGUUGCGGAUGGUAACAUCAGCUGCACAGGAAAUAUUUCUCCUCAAGACAUUUUUGCAGGUAUCUGCAUUGGGAGAACCAGCCACUGAUGCAGGGAAGCGGUGAAUCUUUCCCCUCCCUGAUGAGCCCUCUUAGUCUGACAGGAGAGGGAGACAUCCCAUGAGAGCUGGGGGCAGAAAAGUUGCCUGGCACAGGACAUGGACACAAAGAUGCUGCCACAGAACUUGCCCCUGCCAGCUGCCUAAUUCUCUGACAGUACAGAAAGACCCUAGUGUUGCUUUAUGAACCUCAGUUGACACUACUCAUCUUGUCACAUCUCCUUUGUGAGGUGUCUCAUUGCACAACCUCUACUGAAACAUCCCAGGUGCUUAAUAUAAAUCAGGAGAAGAAAUGUAACGCUGUCUUUCCAGGUUUGGGUAAAUAGGUACAGAAACAAGGUAUUUGGGACAUACGUAAAUGGAGAUGAUGUCCUCCUGCUUCGAUUUGAAUCUCCCAUCACAGUUAAUAUCUGCUCUGGUGAGAUUCAGCCAUGCAGCUGUCUUUCAGAGAGUGUGAUCCUACACGCUACCACCCAAACCCUGACUGUCCUCUGCUAAUCAAGUUGACAAAAAUUAAUCUCUAACAUCAGCUGUGAGGCAGCCAGUAACUUGAUCACCGAGGUUUCAGGAUAGCACAGCGUGCUGAGACUGUCCUUGUAACUUUGGCCAGUGCAAACGAUUUUGAGGGCACAAUCACUUGUUGGAUCACUCCCGAUACUCGAUACUGGUGAUCCUCAACUGCUGCUAACCUGUGUGAAGAAGCCAUGUGCAUCAGUGGAAGCUCCAUGAAACCGUCCUGGCCCUUCUAGGAUGGAGCCAGAUGAGACACAAGGAGUUGUUUUCCUCUCUUCCCUCUCAUUUGCAAUGGGCCUGUGGUAUAUGAAUACCAUAGGCCUGGUGUUUAUGAAUGCUUUCCCAGAAGUUGUAUCUAGACGAGGUAAUGUAUUUCUGCAAGUGAAUAAGGUGUCUGUAGACUUCAUCGCUUUCCGAAAGCGUCAAACUCCCCCUGUAAGUUAUAGAAACACUCAAGUGCACGUGUAACCCCUGCAGGAUUGAUCGAGCUCUUUCUCCUAUGGGGUGGUAAAGCAAGGAAAAGUGGGAGAGAUUAUUGUUGCUAUUUUUACACGCUUGGGAGCAGCUAAGCGAUCGUAAUAAUGGAAGUCAUAAAUUACUUCGCCACUUCACAGUGAGCCGACUCCUCGGAGAAAUACAGGAUAGGUAUUCUGAAUGGCAGGCGCUGCAGAGGAGAGGCCUCGCUCACAUGGGAGAGGGAGAUUGUGUGGAUGAAACUGGAGAUCGCUUCUGCUCCCCCCCCUUAAAUUCCUUUGCAGCACAAGCAAAGCAGGCACGGCAUUUGCAGUCCGCAAGAGUUUGGUGAAGGCAUUCACACCUGCUACCUGAGGGAUGGUUCAGCAAAAGGAAUUCAAAAGUUUAUUCAGUGGAUUCUUUUUUUCCUUUUGCAGUUCCCAAAAAAAGAAGCUCAUUCAUAUGCACUUGACAGCGAGAGGUAAAUUCUCAGUGCAGCGCAAGGUGACUUAACCACACGAUUCCCAGGAACAGCAGUGGGAAUGCCGCAGCAAAAUCUUCCUGCCCGGGUAUGUGAAAAUAUCUGUAGUUAAAUCCCAGGCCCUGUGACAGUGGGAAUCCUGGUCAAUGAAUUUUGUGCUGAGUGCUGAAACAAAUAAAAUCCAUGCCACAGAUCUCCUGUCUGCAGCACUGUGAAUCUCUCUAUUUUAGAUUCUGUGCAGACUUCUUCCUGGUGCAUUGCAUUAAUAUUAAAUUAACAACACACUACUCACAUGGAACUUACAUUCUAAAAAAAGCUCGCAUUAUGCUGUAAGCCUUUUAUUACAAAAUAAUAGCAGUCGUGAGGUUAAAGUUUGUUCAUACAGUUUUCUAUAGAACAUCUGUACAUUUUUUAUGGAGGAUAAAAGCUACGUUCCAUGUGUAGCUUAGUCAUAUGAAUAUAGAUAAUGAGUAGUUUAUUGAAUUUCCUUUUAGAUUUUACCAUUUGCUUAUAUUCAUAUCAAGUCCUUCCAUGCAAAACAUACCAGAUUUCUGUAAGUGGUGCUUUCUUUUCAGAAGCACUAAUUUCUCUGACAGUGUUCUGCAGAGGAUGUGUCCUGAUAGGAAAAGGACCUAUUCCUCUAGGAUUUAGCUCGUAGCUAGAGACAUAAAUCAGAGAUUCUCCGAAGAGGGCUGUAAUCCACACUGGAGAGAAUACAGAGAAAUCGCUAGGUCCAUAUGGAGUGGGACCUCGAAAAGCUUUAUGAGGACCACAUUCACUGGAACCAUUACCCAGUAUCCAAACUAUGGGAGCCCACGAAAGCUUCGAAACCAAAAUAUUUCAAGGCUUUUGUGGCCUUCCAUGAUGCGGAAGCUGGACGGAAUUUUUAUUGAAUCUGGCCCUAAGUAAGCAAAAGAAUUUUGUAAUCAGUGCCUGGUUUAACAGGAAGCCAGAGAAAUUCUUUUAAUAUUGGAGUGAUACGGUGGGAAAGCUUAGCCCUAGAUACAGUCCUGGCUGCUGAGCUCAAGAGAAAUUUGCCUGCAAGCAAAACGAGCUGCGAGCACAGGAAAAUAGUAAUUAACCUGAAGUGGAAAAAAGGUACGUAUUGGAAUCUCCGUUUGUUACUGUGUAUAUGUAAACCAGACCUUACUUUUCAAGCGCUGACCCUUCACCCCACAAAAAUGUUUUUAAUACUAUAAAUAAAUGCAGUCGUUGAACACUAAUCCCUCUCUCCUUCUUCCUAUCUCGUAGAAGCAGUUUCAGCUGCUGGUUGGGAAGCUCUGCAUGCAGAGCCAGAACUCCUUAAUGCCGUUCCAGGUGUCAAACAGCAGGGACUAUUAGAAAGCAAUAUGUAGACAUCCUCAGCCCUGAUGGUAUUCCAGCAUUAAGCCUAGAUCCUGGAACAGUUGCCUGCUGUAUUGCCAAAUGUCUUCCACGUUAAAGCUUUGGUGUUAUUGAUACGAGAAACGCAAACGGGUGACCAGUGCAUGAUGGCCUAGAUACCAAAAGGAGUACAUCAAAUUAUGCCUUGAACCUCGGAUCAUUCUGGUGCUCUGCAGAGAGCCUUGUGCCGUGGCAAAGUUACAUGGAGGGGCAGAUAUUUUAACUGCACUUGUGUUUUCUCAACGUGAAGUUUUGUUUCCAUGUUUUAGAUGCAAGGAUUUGGGUAGUAUGAAAAUACAUCCAAAGGGGCAUUAACCAAAACUCAGAGAGUUCUGGAGAUCCAGGUAAUGGGACAGGGCUCAUUUGGGGUCUAAAUGAGUGGGUCUGAGCUCAUCCUUUUAGCUUCAGAGUAUACCUGUAAGUGGGGAUGAUUUCACCCCGAGCAGUAUGUAAGCAUUUCAAUAAACAGGGUGUGCAUUGUGCAGCAAAAUCAAAGCUAUGCAGUAAUAACUACCCUGCAGCUAAAUGGAUGCUUUUUCCACAGCUGAAUCCUUAGAGGGAUGAUGUAGUGUUUAGUCAUUCAUCGCCAUGUGACUUAUUAAAACAAUUAACAGGCAAAAAAAGUGGUUAUUUUGAGUGGCUUGGCUGAGGCUAUACAAAACGAAGUUCAAGCAGAGUGAGUUUCUACCUCUGUUGGUAGCAGUGUGAAGUGGCCAAGGCUGCGGUUCUGCUCUUAGCUCUCCUUCUAGCUCACUGUUUGACCUUGGAAAAGUCCCCUAACCAUCUUGGGUUUGCGUUUCAUUAUGAGCUUGAAACGUGAAUCAGCUUCUCUGAAAGAUUUGCAGGCUCUCAGGGCAAACCUGGGCCCAGCUUUGGGGUUCAGCCUGAUGGGUUUAUAAUUUGAGCCCUGUGUACACGAGGUUUGAGGUUUUGACUUGUAACCAGAUGAAACAUAAUGGUUUCAAUUGAGUUUUGCUUUGAAUUUUUGGGUUCAGCUGCACUGCUCACUUAAAGGGAAGGCCUGAAAGCGGUGAAGCUAACUGAAGAAACUAUCCACUGAGGGCUUCUAGGGGAAAACCAGAUAGUUUCACUCAGUCUGAUUCAAAAUUAAAGGCCUGGCUGUACGGCUUACUGUGGUUUUCAUACUCAGUGCAACUCCCUGUGCUCUGUUCCAGGAGGAGAAUAUGAGAAAGGCAGGUGUGUAAUGCUAAACACCUGCAAGGUGGCUUGGAAAGAAGAUGUCUGCACACAAACCUGGAAACCGCAGAAGAAUGGAGUCGGUGAGCAUGUGACAGGACUAAGACCAAGACAACAGGAGUCAAAACCAGUUUCAGGCUUCUUAGGACACCACAUCUCCAUGAUCCUGCAGAAGAAACAGGCAAAAUACUCCUUGUAGUUGGAUGAAAGGUAAGUUUACUAUGUUGUUUGUUAAAGGCUUGCAAGCUGAGGACUUCUUACUCUCCAGAAAAUUCUCAGUCCUGUCAUGUCUACGGUCCUCUGCCUAAAGAUUUUCCUGUUGACUAUGACUAUGGAUCAAAUCUAAGGGGGCAUAGCAAUUCAUUCAUGCCCAAUUUAUCCCACUUAAAUCUUUGAUGUUUAUACACCGUUCAGUCUCCAUUUAUGUGUUCCAAGUGGCCACAGAUUUGUGGUAUACAGUGCCUUUUCAAAACAAACAAUCGUUAAGAAAUAACAUCCUUUGCUGUGUACAAGGUACUAAUAUCUUGGCACUAUCACUCUACUUCUGGUUACUACUGUAUUAGUUAUUAGUUCUCCUUUUGACAGUGCAAUGGAAAGAUAGGUACAAAAUAACUCUAUUCUUGGAUGUACAGCAACUUACACUUAUUCCUGUCUUGAAACCAAGGUGGGAGCCCAGAUGUGCCAACAUUGGCUGAAUUUGGUAAACUUCAGCUCCAAAUUUUCAUGAGGGCUUUGAGGCCAAGGCCCUUGUGUGUUAUAUUUUGUGAAGAGGUAGAGGCAGUAAGGGCAGAGAAUAGCUGUUAUUCAUAUGCUGCACCUUUUCUCAAUAAAAGACGUUGUAAAGAUUUUUAGCGCGUGGACAAAAUGUGCAGGCUUGGCAGCAGGGCUGAGCUUAUUGGCUCUGAAGGUCUGUUAGGUCAAUGAUCCAUGAGGUUGGAAGGAUUUGUUCAAUAGACUGGAACAGCUCUGUUGGGGCCAUUAAAGUACUGAGGUGUCAAAAACCCAUGUUUUCAAUUCUUAGGUCUGUUCAAACAGGUAGCUCAUUCUAUCCCCUUCUCCUCCCAUGAAAACUCAUUGCGCUUAUCAGUAUACGUAUAGCAUUGAUCAGCAAGACUGUGAACAGGUCUUAGAAACCACACUGCCUUUCUGAAGGUUAAGACACUUAAGAAAGUCCAAGAGUUACUUCCCAAUCCAGUGUUAACAUGAUGGAUGCUAAUCUAAUCUGUCUAGGCCAUAACGCCUGUAACAGACCAAAAAAAAAAGGGCAAGUGAACUCCCAGAUAAGUCCCUGUGUCAGGUAUGGUUUAAAGGGAAAACCCGUGUGGACUCUGGCUGCUCCCUGCCAGAAGCCAAGAGCCCUCUCCCAGAGAGCGGUGGGUGAAUUCUCGUUAGUUCUUCACCGUCAUUUUGGUUGAAUGUUAAUCCUCGUUAACAGCGCUGCCUUGACAGCCCUGGAAGCCAAGAAUUUUCCACACGAUGGAGCCUCCCCUGUGUUCUCUGCUGGUGUACUUUGACCCUGAUAUGAAGCGAUCACUUCUAGGAAUAAAACGGCUGCUGAGUUUCCAUUCCCUGUUGGCCCUUCUGCGCAUGCCACCUGUAGGGGUAGGUGCGGUGCCAGCGGAGUUAUGUGGAGGCCAGGACAUGGAUGGAGGCCCUGGACAUCUUUACACCACAAAGCACCUAACAACUCACACCAGUUAUUACUUGAGAGGUGCCUAGACCAACUAAGCACCUCUAGAGAAGGGCUUAGCACUUUUAUUUUCCACUGGUCGUGACAGGAACAACUUCUGGGGCUAGGUGUGGCUGUGGUCAGUCCCAGGGCUGCCACUGGUAGGUUAGCUGCUUUUCCUUCUAAGUCAAUGGCCUGAUGGACAACAUAUUCAAAAAACUACGUCAGUCCUGAUUUUAAGACUUUAUAGGAGUCUUUUUUUUCUUUUUUUUU